rnacentral:rRNA from 1 species
AUACGGGAGGCAGCAGUGGGGAAUAUUGGACAAUGGGGGCAACCCUGAUCCAGCCAUGCCGCGUGUGUGAAGAAGGCCUUCGGGUUGUAAAGCACUUUCAGUGGGGAGGAAAGGUUGUACAUUAAUACUGUGCAGCUGUGACGUUACCCACAGAAGAAGCACCGGCUAACUCCGUGCCAGCAGCCGCGGUAAUACGGAGGGUGCAAGCGUUAAUCGGAAUUACUGGGCGUAAAGCGCGCGUAGGCGGCUUGUUAAGUCGGAUGUGAAAGCCCUGGGCUCAACCUAGGAAUUGCAUUCGAUACUGGCGAACUAGAGUAUGAUAGAGGGUGGUGGAAUUCCUAGUGUAGCGGUGAAAUGCGUAGAUAUUAGGAGGAACAUCGGUGGCGAAGGCGGCCACCUGGGUCAAUACUGACGCUGAAGUGCGAAAGCGUGGGGAGCAAACAGGAUUAGAUACCCGGGUAGUC